UGCUAGCGGAGGGCAGUUCGGCUGCCCCGCAUACAGCUCAGUAACACGUGGUCAAUCCAUCCUUGGGACCGGUAUAACCCCGGGAAACUGGGGAUAAUACCGGGUAGACGGGGAUACUGGAACUGUUCCUCGUUGAAAUGUCCAGACGCCCAAGGACGUGACUGCGGCCUAUUAGGUAGUUGGUGGGGUAAUGGCCCACCAAGCCGAAGAUGGGUACGGGCCCUGAGAGGGGGAGCCCGGAGAUGGGAACUGAGACAAGGUCCCAGGCCCUACGGGGCGCAGCAGGUGCGAAAAUUCCGCAAUGCGUGAAAGCGCGACGGAGUGACUCCCAGUGCCGAUGGUCUAACGACCGUCGGCUUUUCUGGAGUCUAAAACGCUCCAGGUAAUAAGGGCCGGGCAAGACUGGUGCCAGCCGCCGCGGUAACACCAGCGGCUCGAGUGGUAGCCGGUUUUAUUGGGCCUAAAGCGUCCGUAGCCGGGCUGACAAGUCCCUUGUGAAAUCGGGUGGCUUAACCACUCGACUUGCAAGGGAAACUGUCGGUCUUGGGAUCGGCAGGCGUCUAGGGUACUCCAGGGGUAGCGGUGAAAUGCUAUAAUCCCUGGAGGACCGCCAGUGGCGAAGGCGCUAGGCGAGGCCGAAUCCGACGGUGAGGGACGAAGGCCAGGGGAGCAAACCGGAUUAGAUACCCGGGUAGUCCUGGCUGCAAAGGAUGUGGGCUAGGUGCUUGGCGUUCCUCGAGAGCGCUAGGUGCCGAA
rnacentral:rRNA from 1 species